rnacentral:rRNA from 1 species
CGGCCUUGACAUACUAAGAACUUUCCAGAGAUGGAUUGGUGCCUUCGGGAACUUAGAUACAGGUGCUGCAUGGCUGUCGUCAGCUCGUGUCGUGAGAUGUUGGGUUAAGUCCCGNAACGAGCGCAACCCUUUUCCUUAUUUGCCAGCGGGUAAUGCCGGGAACUUUAAGGAUACUGCCAGUGACAAACUGGAGGAAGGCGGGGACGACGUCAAGUCAUCAUGGCCCUUACGGCCAGGGCUACACACGUGCUACAAUGGUCGGUACAAAGGGUUGCUACCUCGCGAGAGGAUGCUAAUCUCAAAAAGCCGAUCGUAGUCCGGAUCGCAGUCUGCAACUCGACUGCGUGAAGUCGGAAUCGCUAGUAAUCGCGGAUCAGAAUGCCGCGGUGAAUACGUUCCCGGGCCUUGUACACACCGCCCGUCACACCAUGGGAGUUUGUUGCACCAGAAGUAGGUAGUCUAACCGCAAGGAGGACGCUUGCCACGGUGUGGCCGAUGACUGGGGUGAAGUCGUAACAAGGUAGGCGUAGAUGA